GCUACAGAGCGGGGCGGUAGACCGACCGCCGUCGACAUUCACGAGGCACAGCAGCGCCACCUGGCGGCUCUGCCUUCCCCCGCGACAGAGGAGCGGCUUCCGUGGAGCGACAAGACGCGCCCGCAGGCGGUGAGCGGGAACCCUGUGUAACCGCCAAGGCUGAGGCAGACGCCGGGAGAAAAGCCAUCAAUAUUCAUGGCACCCCUUAAAGCUCGGGCCUGUCCGUCUGCCUGAGAAUAAAGUUUGUUCCUCGAAAACUACUGUCCAAGCUGUCAGCUCUGGAAGCGGAGAGAAGAUGAAACCUCUCCUCCCGGCGCCGCCUCCUUUCCCCCGCUGCCCCCCAGGCAUGGGGACCAGGAAGAGGGUCUAAUUUAUUUGAGGUGGGGGGCCUUAGAGCUGUCGCUGGGGUCGGAGCUGUGUGAGGGGGUCCCCGUCAGUCACAACCCGCUCCUUGCCUCUUGCUUUCCUGGCCAGGUCUGAAGAUGGGAAAAGCCUGUGUGUGGCCGUCGCGAAACAGGGACCCUGGAAGCUCUGUGUUCUCCCGGGUAUGAGUCUUGCACAGAGCAAGCCAUCCCACCGGAAACAGCCCUCUGUCCUCAGAAGAGUCAGUGCAGGACAGGCAGCCAGACCUGGAAGCCGGCUUGGAGACUCUGGAAGCUUUACAUUCCUUCCCCAGCAGGAGAGACUGAUUUUUCUUUCUUGUCUCUGCCUGCAGACUUCCACUCAGCCCGCCAGCCAGGGAAGGAAGCUCUGCAAAGGACAAAGAAGGCUGAGCCUGGGGGAAGGUUCUCCGGUGGGCAGAACCUAUAGUGUCUUCAGCCUCCUGUCUGCCUCAGCUUUUUAUACAGUAAGUGCUCAACAAAUGGUCAACAAAGUAAAUUGCAUCUAGUCUUGCAGCUUCUUGAACACGCUUUGUGGUGUGUGCCCUGUUUGUGGUUGCUUAGUUGCGAAGUUUCAUCCGCCUCUUUUGUGACCCCGUGAACUGUAGCCCACCCGGCUCCUCUGUCCAUGGGAUUUUUCCAGGCAAGAAUACUGGAAUGGGUUGCCACGCCCUCCUCCAGGGGAUCUUCCCAACCCAGGGAUAGAACCCGCAUCUCCUGCACUGGCAGGCGGAUUCUUUGCCCCUGAGCCACCAAGAAAGCCCCUUAAACCAGUUAGUCUAUAGCAUUUCGUUAUGCCAGCCUGAGUAGUGGUGAAGUGUUUCUGAAACAACUUCCGUGACCCACCAAGGAAUGAAAGUCAGACAGGAAAUUCCGGAAUGCCGUGAUCCUGAACAUCCACGCAUCCCUUCCCUCUCUUGAUUCUUACAGAAAUACUUGUCAAACACCUGCCAGGUGUCAGACCCUGUGCCAGGCACUCAAAACUGUGGAAACUAGAGCGGAGUCCCCGCCUUGUGGAGCUGACAUUUGAAAGGGCCAAGGCAUCAGAUCAUGACAAUGUCAUUAAAACAGGUAAGGGCUAUGGAGGAUGUGCGUGGUUCUUCUCUGAACUUCUAGUCCCUUUCAGGGAUAGAGGGCCUGGCUCAGGCAGCAGAGCUGAGUCCAGA
rnacentral:lncRNA from 1 species